CGAAGGGGCUAGCGUUGUUCGGAAUCACUGGGCGUAAAGGGCGCGUAGGCGGCCAAAUAAGUCGGGGGUGAAAGCCUGUGGCUCAACCACAGAAUUGCCUUCGAUACUGUUUGGCUCGAGACCGGAAGAGGUAAGUGGAACUGCGAGUGUAGAGGUGAAAUUCGUAGAUAUUCGCAAGAACACCAGUGGCGAAGGCGGCUUACUGGUCCGGUUCUGACGCUGAGGCGCGAAAGCGUGGGGAGCAAACAGGAUU
rnacentral:rRNA from 1 species